UUGUCAUUAAAGCUAUUGCUGAGAGAGUUACAGGGAAAGGAUUAUCAUUUGAGAUUGGAAAGUUAUGACUUUGAAGAAUAAAAUAAGGUCUGCAUUUUUUAAAAGUAAUGGCACCAGAAACACUACUCUUGUCACAAUAUUAUGUCUAUUGCUGGUAUUUAGUGGGACUGGAGCCCAAAGUACAACACCAUUUACAACAGAAACCACAGAAGGGACAACUGAAAUGCAGGCUACAAUGACCACCGAAACAAAAGCGGCAGGAACGAUUGCAUCGACAAAUAUUCCACCUCUAACCAGUGCAACUGCAGAAGCAACAACUACAGAGGAAAGCACCACAGCUACAACUGUACCAACUACAACACCAACAACAGACCUGACCAGUACCACUGUAUCCACAACACAGGCUACAACAAACACAAAAACAACAACAGUAGAAACAGCUGCAUCUACAACUACUCCAGCUCCAAGCAGUACAACUGGGGAACCAACAACUACAGAGGAAACAACCACAGCUACAACUGUACCAACUACACAACCAACAACAGACCUGACCAGUACCACUGUAUCCACAACACAGGCUACAACGAACACAGAAACAACAACACCAGAGGCUGCAUCUACAACUACUCCAGCUCCAACCACUACAACUGUGGAAUCAACAACUACAGAGGAAACAACCACAGCUACAACUGUAGCAACUACAACACCAACAACAGA